UUCUGGUUGAUUGUUGUUGUUGAUGCAGUCGAACGGUAGCACCCAGAGCUUGCUCUCGGGUGACGAGUGGCGGACGGGUGAGUAAUGUCUGGGAAACUGCCCGAUGGAGGGGGAUAACUACUGGAAACGGUAGCUAAUACCGCAUAACGUCUUCGGACCAAAGUGGGGGACCUUCGGGCCUCACACCAUCGGAUGUGCCCAGAUGGGAUUAGCUAGUAGGUGGGGUAACGGCUCACCUAGGCGACGAUCCCUAGCUGGUCUGAGAGGAUGACCAGCCACACUGGAACUGAGACACGGUCCAGACUCCUACGGGAGGCAGCAGUGGGGAAUAUUGCACAAUGGGCGCAAGCCUGAUGCAGCCAUGCCGCGUGUAUGAAGAAGGCCUUCGGGUUGUAAAGUACUUUCAGUGGGGAGGAAGGCGAUGAAGUUAAUAACUUCGUCGAUUGACGUUACCCGCAGAAGAAGCACCGGCUAACUCCGUGCCAGCAGCCGCGGUAAUACGGAGGGUGCAAGCGUUAAUCGGAAUUACUGGGCGUAAAGCGCACGCAGGCGGUCUGUCAAGUCGGAUGUGAAAUCCCCGGGCUCAACCUGGGAACUGCAUUCGAAACUGGCAGGCUAGAGUCUUGUAGAGGGGGGGUAGAAUUCCAGGUGUAGCGGUGA
rnacentral:rRNA from 1 species